AGUCAUAUGCUUGUUUCAAAGACUAAGCCAUGCAUGUCUAAGUCCAAGCUGUGUGUUGUGGGUGCAAGCUUACACACGCGGCGAAACCGCGGACGGCUCAUUAAAUCAGUCGUGGUCCAAAUGGGCUAGUUUUAUCUUACUUGGAUAACUGUGGUAAUUCCAGAGCUAAUACAUGCAACUGUAAGUCCGAGCGGGUUAUGUAUUUAUAUGUAGACCGCGACGACUGCUUUUAUUAGACCAAACCGCUAAGAGACUUUAUUGUCUCGUAGACUCGUGUUAUGGUGACUCUGAAUAACACCUUUUGACAAGCGCACGUAUCUGAUUUUUAUCGGGACGGCGCUGCCACUUUCGAGUGUCUGCCUUAUCAGCUAUGUAUCGUUCGUUAUGUGCGACCGAUGGCUUUGACGGGUAACGGGGAAUCAGGGUUCGAUUCCGGAGAGGCAGCCUGAGAAACGGCUACCACGUCCAAGGACGGCAGCAGGCACGCAAAUUACCCAAUCCCAGCAAAUGGGGGAGGUAGUGACGAAAUCUAACGAUGCGGGCGCCCCUUCUGGGGCCCCGCAAUCGGAAUGAGCAUUUUUUUCUAAAAAACCUGUUGAGAACCUACUGAAGGGCAA
rnacentral:rRNA from 1 species